rnacentral:rRNA from 1 species
GUAGUCCACGCUGUAAACGAUGAGUACUAAGUGUCGGGAAACCGGUGCUGAAGCUAACGUAUUAAGUACUCCGCCUGAGUAGUACGGUCGCAAGGCUGAAACUUAAAGGAAUUGACGGGCACCCGCACAAGCGGUGGAGCAUGCUGUUUAAUUCGAAGAUACGCGAAGAACCUUACCUAGGCUUGACAUCCCGGGCAAAGCUAUAGAGAUAUAGUGGAGGCUACCCCGGUGACAGGUGGUGCAUGGUUGUCGUCAGCUCGUGUCGUGAGAUGUUCGGUUAAGUCCGAUAACGAGCGCAACCCUUAUUAUUAGUUGCUAACAUUUAGUUGAGAACUCUAAUGAUACUGCCGAUGAUAAAUCGGA